UCUGGACUCAGUAGUUUAGUU
rnacentral:miRNA from 1 species